CAAAAGGGCUGUGAGGUAGGUACCUCUCUUGGUUUAACGAAUGUAGUUAAAUCAGGGCUGAAUCGCAAUCAAGAGAUUUGGGCAGCACAAUUUUUAGAAGCGCCAUGCACCGUCUGGUCGAAAGGCCUCGGAUGGUG